AUGAAACACAAGUCUGAAACCUUUGAAAAGUUCAAGGAAUUUCAGAGUGAGGUGGAGAAUCAACGUGACAAAAAAAUAAAAUUCUUACGAUCAGAUCGUGGAGGAGAAUAUUUAAGUCACGAGUUUGGUACACACUUAUGGAAACGUGGAAUAGUUUCACAACUCACGCCGCCUGGAACACCUCAGCGAAAUGGUCUGUCCGAACGUCGUAAUCGCACUCUAUUGGAUAUGGUGCGAUCUAUGAUGUCUCUUACCGAUCUACCGCUCUCAUUUUGGGGCUAUGCUUUAGAGACUGCCGCAUUUACUUUAAAUAGGGCUCCGUCAAAAUCCGUUGAGACGACACCGUAUGAAUUAUGGUUUGGGAAGAAACCUAAGCUGUCGUUUCUAAAAGUUUGGGGAUGCGAUGCUGAUGUCAAGAAACUUCAACCUGAAAAGCUCGAAGCCAAGGCGGAAAAAUGCGUCUUCAUAGGAUACCCUAAGGAAAUCAUUGGGUAUACCUUCUACCUCAGAUCCGAAGGCAAGAUCUUUGUUGCCAAGAAUGGGUCCUUUCUGGAGAAAGAGUUUCUCUCGAAAGAAUUGAGUGGGAGGAAAGUAGAACUUGAUGAGGAGAUAGUCACCCCUUCCGAACCGGAAAGUAGCGCAACGCGGGAAGAUAUUCCUGUGGUGCCUACACCGACUGGGGAGGAAGUUAAUGAUGAUGAUCAUGAAGCUUCAGAUCAAGUUACUGCUGAACUUCGUAGGCCCACAAGGACACGUUCCGCACCAGAGUGGUACGGCAACCCUGUCCUGGGAAUCAUGUUGUUAGACAACGGUGAACCUUCG
rnacentral:rRNA from 1 species